UGGGGAAUAUUGGACAAUGGGCGCAAGCCUGAUCCAGCCAUGCCGCGUGAGUGAUGAAGGCCUUAGGGUUGUAAAGCUCUUUCGCACGCGACGAUAAUGACGGUAGCGUGAGAAGAAGCCCCGGCUAACUUCGUGCCAGCAGCCGCGGUAAUACGAAGGGGGCUAGCGUUGCUCGGAAUCACUGGGCGUAAAGGGCGCGUAGGCGGAUCUUUAAGUCGGGGGUGAAAGCCCAGGGCUCAACCCUGGAAUUGCCUCCGAUACUGGGGAUCUAGAGACCGGAAGAGGUGAGUGGAACUGCGAGUGUAGAGGUGAAAUUCGUAGAUAUUCGCAAGAACACCAGUGGCGAAGGCGGCUCACUGGUCCGGAUCUGACGCUGAGGCGCGAAAGCGUGGGGAGCAAACAGGAUUAGAUACCCCCGUAGUCC
rnacentral:rRNA from 1 species